GAUGAACGCUAGCGGCAGGCCUAAUACAUGCAAGUCGAACGGAUAUAUGUUUUUCGGAAUAUAUAUUAGUGGCGCACGGGUGAGUAACACGUACAUAACUUGCCCUCAAGCGGGGGAUAGCCUUGGGAAACUGAGAGUAAUACCCCAUAGAAUUAUUGGACGGCAUCGUUUGAUAAUUAAAACUACGGUGUUUGGGGAUAGAUGUGCGUCUGAUUAGCUAGUUGGUGAGGUAACUGCUCACCAAGGCGACGAUCAGUAGGGGGCGUGAGAGCGUGGCCCCCCACACGGGUACUGAGACACGGACCCGACUCCUACGGGAGGCAGCAGUAAGGAAUAUUGGACAAUGGACGGAAGUCUGAUCCAGCCAUGCCGCGUGAAGGAAGAAGGCGCUCAGCGUUGUAAACUUCUUUUGGAUGGGAAUAAUAAUGUCGACGUGCUCGGCACUUGAAGGUACCAUCAGAAUAAGCACCGGCUAACUCCGUGCCAGCAGCCGCGGU
rnacentral:rRNA from 1 species